rnacentral:rRNA from 1 species
UACGUAGGGGGCAAGCGUUGUCCGGAAUCAUUGGGCGUAAAGAGCGUGUAGGCGGCCCGGUAAGUCCGCCGUGAAAGUCCAGGGCUCAACCCUGGGAUGCCGGUGGAAACUGUCGGGCUCGAGUCCGGAAGAGGCGAGUGGAAUUCCUGGUGUAGCGGUGAAAUGCGCAGAUAUCAGGAGGAACACCAGCGGCGAAGGCGGCGCUCUGGGCCGGUACUGACGCUGAGACGCGAAAGCGUGGGGAGCGAACAGG